rnacentral:rRNA from 1 species
GACGAACGCUGGCGGCGUGCUUAACACAUGCAAGUCGAACGCUGAAGCUUGGUGCUUGCACUGGGUGGAUGAGUGGCGAACGGGUGAGUAACACGUGAGCAACCUGCCCCUGACUCUGGAAUAAGCGCUGGAAACGGCGUCUAAUACUGGAUACGAGAAGGGUCCGCAUGGGCACUUUCUGGAAAGUUUUUCGGUUGGGGAUGGGCUCGCGGCCUAUCAGCUUGUUGGUGAGGUAAUGGCUCACCAAGGCGACGACGGGUAGCCGGCCUGAGAGGGCGACCGGCCACACUGGGACUGAGACACGGCCCAGACUCCUACGGGAGGCAGCAGUGGGGAAUAUUGCACAAUGGGCGAAAGCCUGAUGCAGCGACGCCGCGUGAGGGAUGACGGCCUUCGGGUUGUAAACCUCUUUCAGCAGGGAAGAAGCGAAAGUGACGGUACCUGCAGAAGAAGCACCGGCUAACUACGUG